rnacentral:rRNA from 1 species
AGUGGCGAACGGGUGAGUAAUACAUCGGAACGUGUCCUGUAGUGGGGGAUAGACCGGCGAAAGCCGGAUUAAUACCGCAUACGCUCUACGGAGGAAAGGGGGGGAUCUUAGGACCUCCCGCUACAGGGGCGGCCGAUGGCAGAUUAGCUAGUUGGUGGGGUAAAGGCCUACCAAGGCGACGAUCUGUAGCUGGUCUGAGAGGACGACCAGCCACACUGGGACUGAGACACGGCCCAGACUCCUACGGAAGGCAGCAGUGGGGAAUUUUGGACAAUGGGGGCAACCCUGAUCCAGCAAUGCCGCGUGUGUGAAGAAGGCCUUCGGGUUGUAAAGCACUUUUGUCCGGAAAGAAAACGCCGUGGUUAAUACCCGUGGCGGAUGACGGUACCGGAAGAAUAAGCACCGGCUAACUACGUGCCAGCAGCCGCGGUAAUACGUAGGGUGCAAGCGUUAAUCGGAAUUACUGGGCGUAAAGCGUGCGCAGGCGGUCCGCUAAGACAGAUGUGAAAUCCCCGGGCUUAACCUGGGAACUGCAUUUGUGACUGGCGGGCUAGAGUAUGGCGGAGGGGGGUAGAAUUCCACGUGUAGCAGUGAAAUGCGUAGAGAUGUGGAGGAAUACCGAUGGCGAAGGCAGCCCCCUGGGCCAAUACUGACGCUCAUGCACGAAAGCGUGGGGAGCAAACAGGAUUAGAUACCCUGGUAGUCCACGCCCUAAACGAUGUCAACUAGUUGUCGGGUCUUCAUUGACUUGGUAACGUAGCUAACGCGUGAAGUUGACCGCCUGGGGAGUACGGUCGCAAGAUUAAAACUCAAAGGAAUUGACGGGGACCCGCACAAGCGGUGGAUGAUGUGGAUUAAUUCGAUGCAACGCGAAAAACCUUACCUACCCUUGACAUGUAUGGAAUCCUGCUGAGAGGUGGGAGUGCCCGAAAGGGAGCCAUAACACAGGUGCUGCAUGGCUGUCGUCAGCUCGUGUCGUGAGAUGUUGGGUUAAGUCCCGCAACGAGCGCAACCCUUGUCCCUAGUUGCUACGCAAGAGCACUCUAGGGAGACUGCCGGUGACAAACCGGAGGAAGGUGGGGAUGACGUCAAGUCCUCAUGGCCCUUAUGGGUAGGGCUUCACACGUCAUACAAUGGUCGGAACAGAGGGUCGCCAACCCGCGAGGGGGAGCCAAUCCCAGAAAACCGAUCGUAGUCCGGAUCGCACUCUGCAACUCGAGUGCGUGAAGCCGGAAUCGCUAGUAAUCGCGGAUCAGCAUGCCGCGGUGAAUACGUCCCCGGGUCUUGUACACACCGCCCGUCA